rnacentral:rRNA from 1 species
UACAGAGGUGGCAAGCGUUGUUCGGAAUUACUGGGCGUAAAGGGCGCGUAGGCGGUCCCGUCAGUCCCUUGUGGAAUCCCCCGGCUCAACUGGGGAACUGCAAGGGAUACAGCGGGGCUUGAGUUCGGGAGAGGGAAGCGGAAUUCCGGGUGUAGCGGUGAAAUGCGUAGAUAUCCGGAGGAACACCGGUGGCGAAGGCGGCUUCCUGGACCGAUACUGACGCUGAGGCGCGAAAGCUAGGGGAGCAAACGGG